rnacentral:rRNA from 1 species
UACGUAGGUGGCAAGCGUUGUCCGGAUUUACUGGGCGUAAAGCGUGUGUAGGCGGCUUCGCAAGUUGGAUGUGAAAUCCCACGGCUCAACCGUGGACGUGCAUCCAAAACUGCGUCGCUAGAGUCUCGGAGAGGAAGGUGGAAUGCUUGGUGUAGAGGUGAAAUUCGUAGAUAUCAAGCAGAACACCUGCGGCGAAGGCGGCCUUCUGGACGAUGACUGACGCUGAGACACGAAAGCGUGGGGAGCAAACAGG